ACUGUGCUUUCAAAAAGAAGAUUUGAAAAACAAGCAGCCACAUUUGAUCCUAAAAAUGUUCAUUUUUCUCAGAGUUAUAGAAGAAGAUCAAUUCUUUCUAUCAUUUCUUUCAUCUCUACGUCUGCAGGCUGCACAUUACCCUCACACAUGAUCCCUUCAUCCCAGCAUCCUUUGCUCUUCUCUUCCUUCAGCCUCCUCUUCCUCCUCUAUUACAGUAAACACAUCAGGUUGGUACUAACUAACAUCAGCUGUGUGUGAUCCUGUACAGACUGAACUAUCUGGUCAGCAGUGAGAAAGUUUCUCUCUCCCUCCUACAGAGGACACAGAGACACUGAGGAACCAGACCUGAACCAGAACCCGAACCCAGGAUAAAGAGGUUCAGUGAAUGUGGUGUUGAAGGUGUGGAGGUGGAUCAGUGUGUCAGAGGAGACUGUGUAGAAGGACAGAGUGCCAGCAGGACAGUCCACAUACACUGCUACUCUACCAGAGGAGGAGGAGGAGGAGGAGGAGGAGGAGGAGGAGGAGGAGGAGGAUGAGGAGAUGGGUGUUCUUCUCUUAUUGUGACAGACAGAGUAACCAUCAUCAGAGCACUGCAGACUCCAGGACUGAUCAUUCCAUCCAAACACACAGUCUCUACUCUCUCCUCUCCUGCUGAUUCCUCUGUAACUCACUGAUAUAUAAACUCCUCCUCUCCACUCGACCUCCCAGUAACAGCGACCAGUCAGACCAUUUCUACACAGCAGCUGAGACCAGUAGUCAAAUCUGUCUGGAUGAUCAGGAUAUGACUGAACCUC